UAAGGACUGGGGUCUCCAGUAAGGAUUGUAGGGUCCCAGAAGAACCAUUAGUUAACGUGUGCCUAUGAGCAUACCUGGUAACUCUCUGGGGUUGCCCUCAAGUCUCUGGGUUUUUGCCCCAGUCUCAGGGUGAAGGGGCAGGCGAUCAUAUAGAAGACUCACAGCCAGCAAAAUCCUACUUAUGGAUCCCUUGUGUUUUUGAGACAGAUGUGUUUUGUAAUGUCUUAAAGGCAUGUAUUUCAAAUCCUAUAUUAAACAUCUGACCUU